UACGAAGGGUGCAAGCGUUACUCGGAAUUACUGGGCGUAAAGCGUGCGCAGGCGGUUGUGCAAGACAGAUGUGAAAUCCCCGGGCUUAACCUGGGAAUGGCAUUCGUGACUGCACGGCUAGAGUGUGUCAGAGGGGGGUAGAAUUCCACGUGUAGCAGUGAAAUGCGUAGAUAUGUGGAGGAAUACCGAUGGCGAAGGCAGCCCCCUGGGAUAACACUGACGCUCAUGCACGAAAGCGUGGGGAGCAAACAGG
rnacentral:rRNA from 1 species